rnacentral:rRNA from 1 species
UACGUAGGGGGCAAGCGUUGUCCGGAUUUAUUGGGCGUAAAGAGCGUGUAGGCGGUUCGGUAGGUCCGUUGUGAAAACUCGAGGCUCAACCUCGAGACGCCGAUGGAAACCCUCGAACUAGAGUCCGGAAGAGGAGAGUGGAAUUCCUGGUGUAGCGGUGAAAUGCGCAGAUAUCAGGAAGAACACCCGUGGCUAAGGCGGCUCUCUAGUACGGUACUGACGCUGAGACGCGAAAGCGUGGGGAGCGAACGGG